rnacentral:rRNA from 1 species
GACGAACGCUGGCGGCGUGCUUAACACAUGCAAGUCGAACGGAAAGGCCCUGCUUUUGUGGGGUGCUCGAGUGGCGAACGGGUGAGUAACACGUGAGUAACCUGCCCUUGACUUUGGGAUAACUUCAGGAAACUGGGGCUAAUACCGGAUAGGAGCUCCUGCUGCAUGGUGGGGGUUGGAAAGUUUCGGCGGUUGGGGAUGGACUCGCGGCUUAUCAGCUUGUUGGUGGGGUAGUGGCUUACCAAGGCUUUGACGGGUAGCCGGCCUGAGAGGGUGACCGGCGACAUUGGGACUGAGAUACGGACCAGACUCCUACGGGAGGCAGCAGUGGGGAAUAUUGCACAAUGGGCGGAAGCCUGAUGCAGAAACGCCGCGUGCGGGAUGACGGCCUUCGGGUUGUAAACCGCUUUCGCCUGUGACGAAGCGUGAGUGACGGUAAUGGGUAAAGAAGCACCGGCUAACUACGUG